AACGAACGCUGGCGGCAGGCUUAACACAUGCAAGUCGAGCGCCCCGCAAGGGGAGCGGCAGACGGGUGAGUAACGCGUGGGAACGUACCUUUUGGUUCGGAACAACUCCGGGAAACUGGAGCUAAUACCGGAUAAGCCCUAACGGGGAAAGAUUUAUCGCCGAAAGAUCGGCCCGCGUCUGAUUAGCUAGUUGGUGAGGCAACGGCUCACCAAGGCGACGAUCAGUAGCUGGUCUGAGAGGAUGAUCAGCCACACUGGGACUGAGACACGGCCCAGACUCCUACGGGAGGCAGCAGUGGGGAAUAUUGGACAAUGGGCGCAAGCCUGAUCCAGCCAUGCCGCGUGAGUGAUGAAGGCCUUAGGGUUGUAAAGCUCUUUUGUCCGGGAAGAUAAUGACUGUACCGGAAGAAUAAGCCCCGGCUAACUUCGUG
rnacentral:rRNA from 1 species